rnacentral:lncRNA from 1 species
UGCUGCAAACAAUUCCACAUAAAUAUGACCAGGAGAACUCUCGGACUUGAGAAGGAAUAAUAUCUAAACCAUGCACUAAAUUUGAAAGAAGGACGAUAAGGACAUGCCUCCUGAGUUGCAAAGUUGAAGAUUUUGUAGCAUAGAAAUCUGGAAUGUGUGAAGAGAAGUAUUACCUGCAUAGGACUGGCAGCUACCAACAGACCGGCAACCCCUCCCCCGACAACUCGACCAUCUAGGCUUGCCAAAGAAACAGUCAUCCCAGUAGAGCGACUUCUUGUACCUCUAUUAUCAAUGGGCAUAAAUGAUUCAGAUAAGAAGAGUAACUCAAAUCGACCCUACAAAAGCAGUCCAGUGAACAUAUAAUAUAUUAAUAGGCAAUAAAAGUACAAGAUCAAAUCAUAGGCAUAACAGCAGAAAGCUGAUGAAUAUAGGAAGAUAGUAUUAUGGCAAAUAUUUCAAAUUAGAGGAA